AAAUACUUACCAUGUCCUUUUUUCCAAUGUAUAUAUUUUUAUUAUAUCAAAGUAGAAACUUUUAUUUAAAUGUGCCCUAUUGCACAUAUUUUAGAAAUCACUAGAUCCAGAAAGGAAAGAAUUAAAAAAAACAAUAUACUGGUGUUUUUAAGCAAUAAUGAAACGUUUGCUACUGAAAUUUAAGGAAAAUGAUGCAAGGGAAAACAGCAGCAAUUAUUUUUAUCUUUUCCUAUUUAUCCCUAGCAAAGUUAGCAACUUCCUCCCUUUACCCACAUCAAUUAAUUAUCUAAUUGCUUUUAAUGUUUCAUUAUUGCAUUAGUUGUACACAAUAUUGGGAUUCACUUUGACACAUCAUAUACGUGUGGAAUAUAAUUUGCUCCACUUCAAUACAGGCUAUCUACACUUUCCCUCCUCUCUGUUCUCCCUCUGUGUCCCCUUCUCCUUUAUUGGUCUUCCCUCUAUCCAUUUAUAUUUUCUUUCAGUUAGUGCUUUAUAGAUAUACAUACAGGUGAAAUUCAUUGUGAUAAACAUAUACAUAUGCAUACACACUUUAGCCAAUUUCAUUUCACCUUUCCCUGUUCUUCUUCCCACCCCCUUAAUCCCCAUAGUCCUCUGCUCACUGAUCUCCCUUCUAUUUUCAUGGUAUUUUCCCCUACUUCUUUUUUUCCCCCCUUGUAUUUGGGUCUAGUUUGCAUAUAUGAGAGAAAACACUUGACUUUUUACAAUCUCUUAGUCUGGCUGAUUUCACUUAAUUUGAUAUUCUUCAGUUUUUUUCAUUUAUCAGCAAAUGCCGUAAUUUCAUUCUUUAUGGCAGAGUAACUCCAUUUUGUAUAUAUACCACAUUUUCUUUAGCCAUUCAUCUGUUGAAGUGAACCUAGGUUGGUUCCAUAGCUUAGCUAUUGCAAAUUGAGCUGCUGUACACAUUCAUGUGGCCAUGUCUCCAUAGUAUGUUGAUUUUAAGUCCUUUAGUUAUAGACCGAGUACUGGGAUAGCUGAGUCAAAUUGUGGCUCCAUUCCAGGUUUUCUAAGGAAUCUUAAAAGGAGUAAGUUUAUACAUUCUGAAUAAACAAACUAAAUAAAUGAUUCUCUAUUAGAGUAUUAGAGUCAUG
rnacentral:lncRNA from 1 species